CCUCCUCCUCCAGGGUGUUGAAACUGUUCACAAAGACCCAAUCAGCUCCCCUGAAAUUCAAAAACUGAUUGACUACUAAGGUAAGUAUAGAUGAGUAUUCUGAUUCCAUGUCGUGCACGAAUGAUGGCAGUUCAUCAGCGUCUAGAGGUGGCAGCCCUGGAACUGAUACAGGAAACUUCUCUAGUGGAAUCUUUAGCUGCUCCUCAUGGAUUUGGUAGUAGACAGAGUUAACAGCACAUGACUGUGUGAAGAAGGAAGCCCCAAUGAGGCCAAGCUUUCUAGCUAUCUCUAGAACCCAAGGCAUGAAUGAGUCAUACACUAGGCAACUCACUGGAUGCCCAGAAGAGAUACCUAGUUCUACAACGAGUUGUGGCAGUUUUGGUGCCACUGUAGCUUGGAAUUGGUUUAGAAGGUCACCUAUGGAACUGCUGCCUGUAUCAGAACUAUCAGAAAUGGUCACCACUUUGACAGAGCCAAGCGAGGCCGGCGUUGAGAGCGUCUGGCUUGAGAAGAUGACCAGUGUUACUUGGAGUCCUUUCGAGGCUAGGCGCUUGGAGAACUGGAUCAUGGGGUUAAUGUGACCUUGAGCAGGAUAAGGUAUGACCACUACAUGACAGAUUCUUUCUUCUUGCUUCUCCAUUUCUCUAAUUAACAACACCAGUCUUUGUGCUUUUCUUUCUCGUGUGGGAGUACUCCUGCCUGCAUAUAUGUAAGCUUUUUACGUCCAAUUGUGUGGUCCGAAAGAACCAGUCUUUUACGUGAGAGAAGGGAGUACAAUUUUCCUAUAAAGCAUCUUUUGAAAUCCUCUAAAUUAAAUUUAAUUUAAAAUUUUUAAUAAAAUCUCAUGUUUUGAACCAUUUUAAGUAUUAAUAAUUAAAUUCUAAAUAGAAUUUAAUUUUUAGAAAUGAUAUAAAAAAUAUAUAGAUGCCAACUCUUUUGAUUUACAAUUCUAAAAUAUAAAAUUUAAAUUUAAAACUAACCUUCUCAAAACAUCUAUUUAUUAUUUUUUAGAAAUAUUUAAAUAAAUAAAAUAAAAUAAUAAAAAUAAUAUAAAAAAUAAAAUAAAUUGAAUUCGAUUUUUUUUAAAUACAACAAUUUUCUUACGUAUUGGCUUACGAAUGCAAUUGGAAGGGAAGGUAGAUGGCUUCUACCCUAAACUUCAACUACCAGUCAUGUUUUUAUGGAUUGAUUGAUGACAAUAUUGAUUCAAUAUCUGAAAUCAAAUAACAUGUAAUGUGUUAGGGUUUAAUGCUAGUAAAAAAUGUUGAAUUAAACUCAAUCUAGAUGAUCAAGAAAGGCAACCACCGCCCAGCUAGCCACCAGCUGUCACCAGCCAGCCACCAACUGUCACUGACCACCGCCUAGCCGCAUGCCGCCAGUCGCCUUCACACCUAAAAAUUUAAAUUUUCUUGUUUUGAAUUUGUGUAUAAACAGGCAGCUAAGCUUAUGUUAUUUUGUGUGGAGAGUUUAGAGAGAAACACUAGAUAUAGAGAGAGAGGGCGUGUAUUAAGCUUUAUGUUGUUGUAAGCUUGUGUUCUUGAAAUAAAACUUUGUGUUUUAUCCCCUCUGAGUAUUUCAAAACCACCACCAGUUGUUUCUCCCACCAACAAUUGGUAUUAGAGCCCCGUUCGUCAGAAAACAGAAGAGUUGUGGGGUAUACCCGAAUUUUCAAAGUUGUCAAAAACAAGUUUUGAUCAUUCCACAGUGUAGAGCUCAUCCAUACGAACUCACUAGUGCAAGAAUCAGCCUCAUCGAAACCCGCGGUGAGCCACACGCGCCGCCUGAAGAUCCGGUGACUGUCGCCCACGAGCAGCCAUGCGCGCUAGAGGUUAAAGACGAGUGCCGUCCAUGUGCGCCAUAUUCAAGCCGUUUAAGCCGUCUAAGUCGAGACGUCAUCCAACUACGCCGAGCCGUCCUCCGAGCCGAGUCGCGCCGUACGCCGCGCUGAGCCGUUUUUCCAGCUGCGCCGAGCCGAGCCGUUUUUCCAGCCGCAGCCAAGCCUGCUGAAUAUUCCCGGUUCAACUUCAGCGAACCGCCUAACGUACAGAAUCGGUUUUUUGACCGGUUCACCUAAUUUUUGACCCGAUUUCAACAAAGUCAGACCGGUUCCCUACUAUUUGGACCAUUCCGGAUUGAUCUACAAUGUUCGUUUGGUCAAAUUCGGCUCCCAGAAGGUGAUAUAUUCAUUCAAAGAGAAAAAUGACUACAAAAAAUACACAAACACUCAUCUCAAAGCUGACCAAAAACAACUAUGAUAGUUGGUGCAUCAAAUUAAAGGCAUGUCUUGGUUCACAAGAGUGUUUAGAUAGAGAGAGAGGGCGUGUAUUAAGCUUUGUGUUGUCGUAAGCUUGUGUUCUUGAAAUAAAACUUUGUGUUUUAUCCUUUCUGAGUAUUUCAAAGCCACCACCAGUUGUUUCUCCCAUAAAAAAAAAAAAAACACAGUGCUGUCAAUUUCAUCAUUUCCAUGGUUUCCGUGAAACCUGCUGCUCCAGGCUUAUUGGAGUGGCUGGAAGCUAACAAAUACUUUUCAAUUACUUUUCAAAAUAUUUUUUUAAAUAAAUUUACAUGAAAGUGGGCUUCUGCUCAUGCAGUGGGGUUGGAUUCAAAGCAUCUGCAUGCACAAGAUUUAGUUAUAGCUCCAAUACAUACAGAUUGUUGUAUAAACCUACCAAGACUCAUUUGUCGUUUCCUUGCUAAAGAAGGCUUUCUGUGUUGGAACUACUGCCCCAUGCCCUCUCCUUCCAUAUCUGCUCAACUUCAACAAAUGCCAGCCCCAUGGUCUCAGGGACAUACAUAAUCACAAACACAACUGCGAGCACUGCUAUGCCCGCGAGCAUCAGGAAAGUCGAACCUGUUCCUACUGCUUCGGCAAUUGAAAGGAAAGUUUGGGCUACUAUCAGAUUGGAGAUCCAGUUAACAGUAGCUGACAUGCCCCCGCAUAUUCCUCGAUAUUGUUCGGGAUAUAUCUCCGAGUUCACAGUCCAUGGAACAGGUCCCAUUCCUGGUGAGAAGGAAGCAAUAUACAGGGCUAACUGAUGGGAACCGUGGGAUAAAGAAAGUUGCAGCCAAAUCAAGAACUGCAGGAAGAUGGAGAGAUGCAACCAGCCAUCAUUAAUGAAGAUUUCAGAGACUUUGAAUCUGAUCUUUAAAGCCUGCUGAAUUUAAUAAAGUUAAUCUGGUCAUAGACCGAAUCUAGACAUUUUUCUUUAUUCAUGCAUUUUAAUGUUAUCUGGAGUUUUAUUGGCUUGUUACUAUAUUUAGUUGGCUGUAAUCACAAAAGAGAGGGACAUUGAUUUUACAAAAGUUAUUCAGUUUAAAAUUCCUGUUAAGUGUUGAAGCUACUCUUCGUCUUGUUGAACGAUAUCAACAAUCUUCGUCUUCGUGAACGAAAUCACGAUCCAGCUCACAAACGAGAUUUAUAUUUUCACAUUAAUAAUCGAUAAAUCGAUCCAUGCUCACAAAUAAUUAUAUUUUCACAUUGAUUCGAUGUAAAAUUUAUAUUUUACAUUUUUUUUUUUGCUUACGUUAGCAAUUUGAUGUUUUUUUUGGAUUCGAGGAAAUCUCAUCCCCGAAAAGCGUAUUUUAUGGAUCUAGGUAAGCGAGUAAAACCCGAGUUGUCCUAGGCUCUUAUAAAAGGUGCACGCCCUGACUCGAACUCGAGACCUGUUAUGCAAAUCUCAAGUUCUUUGUCAUCACACCUCGCCCCUUCGAGACAUUAGACAUUAGAUAUUAGCAAUGUGAUGUUCCUAACAAAUAAUUUGCUAAGAUAUCAAAAUCUUCAAAAAUAAAAAAAUUUCCCAAUAUUGUAAGUGCAUGAUUGAAGACAAAAUUCAUCAAGGUUAUAUUAUGGGUGCACGUAUCUACCCUGCCACGAUGAUAAUGCCUUUUACGCCUAAUAAUCUUGUGGGAAAAUUGAUCGACAUCAUACUAUUCAACAACAAAAUGUUGUUUUUCAUGUUUCAGCUUCUCAGCCGUUCGAAUGAAAUUUGAAGCCAAGCCUAGUCUGAGAGGGUCACCAUAUCCAUGUUAAAUGCGCUUAACUGCAAUCAAGUCUAUGAAUAAUAAAUUUGAUAGUUCAUUGGAUCCAUGAUUAAUAAGGCUCGACCCAUAACGAAGUUCAAGGUAUUAAGUUUAGUAUCUUGUUGGAUUCAUAUAUAUAUAUAUAUUUUUAUUAAUGUAAGUGUUUGGGUCAACUUGCACACAUCUUGACUAAUCCCAUAAGCCCUUAAGCUAACGAUUAUUUAAGUUUUUAGCGGUUAUAAAAUUUGUGGACUUGAACUGAUAAUUUUAAAAAAAUAAAUUUAAAAAAUAAUUUUUAAAAAAUAAAUUUAAAAUCUAAUUAAUUAAAUUAUAUUUUAUUUAUUUAGACUUGAUAUAAUACCAAAUCGAUAAGGGAUAUAUUUAACAACUCAACCGACUCAUCUCCACUUAAAUUUAACAACUCGUCAAAAUAAUAUAUUUGUUUUGACUCAAUAAGUAGGUGAAGCAAAAAAUGAAUGGAUUCGGCACCCUUGAAAUUUGAACGUUGUUGAAUUUCCAUCCAAUUCCUCCUCACCACAAAAUUGUGGUCGAAUUUGCACAUGUUGACUUGGUUUUCAAUUUUUUUGACUUGUUUUUUGCAUCAUUGUCCAAUCUAGAAUGCUCGUUUGGGAAUGUGUGUAGGCUUGUGACUUGUCUUUCUAAAUCAUAAUCAAUAAUUGAUAGAACAAUCUCACGCGUGUUAAUAAAAAUCUUAUGUGUAAUAUAUCAAAGUGUGAACCUUAACCGUCCAUUUUUGUUUAUAAUUGAUUUUUUUUCUAAAAAAUAAUAAAAAGAAAAGAGAUUGAAAUGGAGUAACAUGAUAUUAUUUCUUUCAUCAUGAAAACAUGAUUUGAAUCUUGUAUUGUGUAGUUCAUAUGACAACUAUCAUCGAAUCCUAUAAAAUAACCGAGGAAAAAUACAUCGAUGGGGAAGAAGCAUUUUUCCAAGUUUUAAGGCCUUGCAUGUCGGUGUAGGCUUUCACGCUUUUGAAUCUGUGGUUUCAUUGAACUUGCUAGCAAGUUUCGCUGCAAAUUCCGUAAUAUUAUUAUCAGAGCUUCCACCUUCACCCAUGGCUGCUUUGGCUAGUUUCUUCCAUUUCUCAGAAUUCCUUCUCAUCUCACUCCCUCUUUCACCUUCCAUGACUUCCCUUGUACACUUUUCUAACUCUUCUUUAGUGACAAUCCCCUUUUCAUUUGCCUUCACUCUAACUCCUACACGCCAAACAUCUGCUAUGUACUUCGCAUUUGUUGGUUGAUCAGUCCACUGUGGCACCGCCACCAUUGGCACUCCUAAGCUCAACGCUUCAAGCGUCGAGUUCCACCACAAUGAGUCAUGAAGCAACCAACAGACUUGUGAGCCAGAACCUCUAGCUGAGGGCUCCAGGUCACAAUCAGACCCUUCUCUGAGGACCUCUCCACAAAGUUACAUGGAAGUUUUUUCUCUUCCGAUUCUCUGACUACCCACAAGAAGUUGCAGUCGCUUCUCCUUAGGCCCCAAGCUAUUUCUGCCAUUUGCUCUUCUCCAAGAGCAGCCAAGGUUCCAAAUGACACGUAAACCACGGAGCCAGUUUCCUUUGAGUCUAGCCAUUCCAUGCAACCGUCGAGAGCAGGUUUGAAGAGGCUGAGGCCAUACCCUGUGUCAUCCUCUAGCUGCCUGUCCAAGUAAACUGAUGGAAUCAUGGGUCCUAUUGGCUUGAUUGACCUCUUGCUUGCCAGCCAGUUUACCACCUGAUACAAAUGAGCAAAAUCUUGAGUGCCAUAGAAUUUAAGGCAGCGUACUUUGCAAAUAUGGUAAUAUCUAUUAGUAUGAUCAGAGAAAAAAGAGUUCAAUAAGGAAUUCGAAGUAGUGCUGCUUUUCUUUAUGUAACUUCUUCAGGGUUACCUCCUCCUCCAGGGUGUUGAAACUGUUCACAAAGACCCAAUCAGCUCCCCUGAAAUUCAAAAACUGAUUGACUACUACGGUAAGUAUAGAUGAGUAUUCUGAUUCCAUGUCGUGCACGAAUGAUGGCAGUUCAUCAGCGUCUAGAGGUGGCAGCCCUGGAACUGAUACAGGAAACUUCUCUAGUGGAAUCUUUAGCUGCUCCUCAUGGAUUUGGUAGUAGACAGAGUUAACAGCACAUGACUGUGUGAAGAAGGAAGCUCCAAUGAGGCCAAGCUGUCUAGCUAUCUCUAGAACCCAAGGCAUGAAUGAGUCAUACACUAGGCAACUUACUGGAUGUCCAGAAGAGAUACCUAGCUCUACAACGAGUUGUGAAAGUUUUUGUGUCACUUUAGCUUGGAAUUGCUUUAGAAGGUCAGCUAUGGAACUGCUGCCUGCAUCAUAACAAUCAGAAACGGUCACCACUUUGACAGAGCCAAGCGAGGCCGGCGUCGAGAGCGUCUGGCUUGAGAAGAUGACCAGAGUUACUUGGAGUCCUUUGGAGGCCAGGCGCUUGGAGAACUGGAUCAUGGGGUUAAUGUGACCUUGAACAGGAUAAGGUAUGACCACUACAUGACAGAUUCUUUCUUCUUGCUUCUCCAUUUCUCUAAUUAACAAAACCAGUCUUUGUGCUUUUCUUUCUCGUGUAGGAGUACUCCUGCCUGCAUAUAUGUAAGCUUUUUACGUCCAAUUGUGUGGUCCGAACUGACGUGUUGAUCUUAAUGUUGUAUUUCCUAGAUUUUUUAUUUAUUUUUUUGAAUUUCACUUACGUGAGAGAAAGGAGUACAAUUUUCGUUAUAAAGAUGUUUGAAAUCCUUUAAGUUAAAUUUAAUUUAGAAUUUUUAAUAA
rnacentral:lncRNA from 1 species